rnacentral:rRNA from 1 species
AAAAACUCUGGUGGUAUACGAUGGAUCCGCGUCUGAUUAGCUUGUUGGCGGGGUAAAGGCCCACCAAGGCAACGAUCAGUAGCCGGCCUGAGAGGGUGAACGGCCACAUUGGGACUGAGACACGGCCCAAACUCCUACGGGAGGCAGCAGUGGGGAAUAUUGCACAAUGGGGGAAACCCUGAUGCAGCGACGCCGCGUGAGUGAAGAAGUAUUUCGGUACGUAAAGCUCUAUCAGCAGGGAAGAAAAUGACGGUACCUGACUAAGAAGCCCCGGCUAACUACGUGCCAGCAGCCGCGGUAAUACGUAGGGGGCAAGCGUUAUCCGGAUUUACUGGGUGUAAAGGGAGCGCAGACGGCAGCGCAAGUCUGGAGUGAAAUCCCAUGGCUUAACCAUGGAACUGCUUUGGAAACUGUGCAGCUAGAGUGCAGGAGAGGUAAGCGGAAUUCCUAGUGUAGCGGUGAAAUGCGUAGAUAUUAGGAGGAACACCAGUGGCGAAGGCGGCUUACUGGACUGUAACUGACGUUGAGGCUCGAAAGCGUGGGGAGCAAACAGGAUUAGAUACCCUGGUAGUCCACGCUGUAAACGAUGAUUACUAGGUGUUGGGGGACCAAGGUCCUUCG